UGGGGAAUAUUGGACAAUGGGCGAAAGCCUGAUCCAGCCAUGCCGCGUGUGUGAAGAAGGUCUUCGGAUUGUAAAGCACUUUAAGUUGGGAGGAAGGGCAGUAAGCGAAUACCUUGCUGUUUUGACGUUACCGACAGAAUAAGCACCGGCUAACUCUGUGCCAGCAGCCGCGGUAAUACAGAGGGUGCAAGCGUUAAUCGGAUUUACUGGGCGUAAAGCGUGCGUAGGCGGCUAAUUGAGUCGGAAGUGAAAUCCCCGAGCUUAACUUGGGAAUUGCAUUCGAUACUGGUUAGCUAGAGUGUGGGAGAGGAUGGUAGAAUUCCAGGUGUAGCGGUGAAAUGCGUAGAGAUCUGGAGGAAUACCGAUGGCGAAGGCAGCCAUCUGGCCUAACACUGACGCUGAGGUACGAAAGCAUGGGGAGCAAACAGG
rnacentral:rRNA from 1 species